AUGAUCUUCCUGCAGGUCCUCCCUCUACGGUGGUGUCGAGCUCUCUGCCCUCCCUUUCCUUCUUCCUCCUCUCCCCUCUCUCCUUUCCUUCUUCCUCCUCUCCCCGCAAACUACCUCCGGCGAAGUCCAGUGCAUGUCCAUCCCCGGUGGCUCGCGUGCAGUUCGGCCAGCGAUGGCGUGCAGUAUGACGUACGACGGCAUGCAGUUCCGCGACCCUCACUGGCGUGCAGUGCCACCAGCGUGAAGUGCAGCUCGCCUUGGCGUGCAGUGCAGCUCGCCCUGGCGUGCAGUGCAGCUCGUCAAUGCAUGCGGAAAAAGGAUUUGUAUAUGAAGAGUGUUCAGCGUACUGUUAUCUGGAUGGGAAAGAAGCAAGAAUCGGUUGAUGAUGUUCCCUGUGGUAACACUAUUGCUUUGGUUGGUUUGGAUCAGUUCAUCACCAAGAAUGCAACCCUGACAAAUGAGAAGGAAGUUGAUGCCUGCCCAAUCUGGGCAAUGAAGUUCUCUGUGUCCCCUGUUGUGUGUGUGGUUGUUCAAUGCAAGGUGGCUUCUCAUCUUCCUAAGCUUGUUGAGGGUUUGAAGCGGCUGGCGAAGUCUGACCCUAUGGUUCUCUGUAGCAUUGAAGAGUCUGGUGAGCAUAUCAUUGCUGGAGCUGGAGAGCUUCACCUUGAAAUCAGUUUAAAGGAUCUGCAGGAGGAUUUCAUGGGUGGUGCUGAAAUUAUUGUUUCACCUCUUGUUGUCUCCUUCCGUAGAUAA
rnacentral:rRNA from 1 species